GACGGCCUUCGGGUUGUAAACUCCUUUCGUUAGGGACGAAGCCACACCUUUUUUGGGUGUGGUGACGGUACCUUUGUUAAGAAGCACCGGCUAACUACGUGCCAGCAGCCGCGGUAAUACGUAGGGUGCGAGCGUUGUCCGGAAUUACUGGGCGUAAAGAGCUCGUAGGUGGUUUGUUGCGUCGUCUGUGAAAUUCCGGGGCUUAACUUCGGGGUGGCAGGCGAUACGGGCAUAACUAGAGUGCUGUAGGGGAGACUGGAAUUCCUGGUGUAGCGGUGGAAUGCGCAGAUAUCAGGAGGAACACCGAUGGCGAAGGCAGGUCUCUGGGCAGUAACUGACGCUGAGGAGCGAAAGCAUGGGGAGCGAACAGGAUUAGAUACCCUGGUAGUCCAUGCUGUAAACGGUGGGCGUUAGGUGUGGGGACCGGUUUGGUUUCUGUGCCGUAGCUAACGCAUUAAGCGCCCCGCCUGGGGAGUACGGCCGCAAGGCUAAAACUCAAAGGAAUUGACGGGGGCCCGCACAAG
rnacentral:rRNA from 1 species